CUAACGCAGCAGGAAACUAACGGCUGACUUGUAGCGGUUGAUCUAACGAUGACGUAAUGGAUGAUAAAAUGUCAGAACCGUUGAAAAACAUUAGGCAAAAACACACAAGAGCGCAGAUUUAGUCGCUUUAAACAUGGAAAUCAGACGCAGACGAUAGGAAAACAAACCUAAAAUGACUGCUGCGCCCACCGGUCGGUGAGCUAUUGAGUAUUUCAGUCAACUAGCUACCAACAUUAGUUACAUUUCCAAGUUUUCCGACAAAGAACGACACGAUAAUAGGUUACACUCGCUGGAGGCUAAAGGAAUUUUCCCCAAAAUGGAUCAACAAAAACAUCUGUAACUUACCCCUAAAAGGCAAACUUUGAGCUCCCUUAUAGCCAUGAAGAGAAACCCAGCCCCUCAAACGGACAGACUGACCAUCUUUUUUCAACGACUUUCAAGCAAUUUUAGUGGGGGGAAAACAAAAUCCGGUGAUGACUUUCAAAAUAAAACUUGCAUUGCCC